rnacentral:rRNA from 1 species
GGGUUGUGAGGUUAAGCGACUAAGCGUACACGGUGGAUGCCCUGGCAGUCAGAGGCGAUGAAGGACGUGCUAAUCUGCGAAAAGCGUCGGUAAGGUGAUAUGAACCGUUAUAACCGGCGAUGUCCGAAUGGGGAAACCCAGUGCAAUUCGUUGCACUAUCGUUAACUGAAUACAUAGGUUAACGAGGCGAACCGGGGGAACUGAAACAUCUAAGUACCCCGAGGAAAAGAAAUCAACCGAGAUUCCCCCAGUAGCGGCGAGCGAACGGGGAGCAGCCCAGAGUCUGAAUCAGCUUGUGUGUUAGUGGAACGGUCUGGAAAGUCCGACGGUACAGGGUGAUAGUCCCGUACACCAAAAUGCACAGGCUGUGAACUCGAAGAGUAGGGCGGGACACGUGGUAUCCUGUCUGAAUAUGGGGGGACCAUCCUCCAAGGCUAAAUACUCCUGACUGACCGAUAGUGAACCAGUACCGUGAGGGAAAGGCGAAAAGAACCCCGGCGAGGGGAGUGAAAAAGAACCUGAAACCGUGUACGUACAAGCAGUGGGAGCACCUUCGGGUGUGACUGCGUACCUUUUGUAUAAUGGGUCAGCGACUUAUAUUCUGUAGCAAGGUUAACCGUAUAGGGGAGCCGCAGGGAAACCGAGUCUUAACUGGGCGUUAAGUUGCAGGGUAUAGACCCGAAACCCGGUGAUCUAGCCAUGGGCAGGUUGAAGGUUGGGUAACACUAACUGGAGGACCGAACCGACUAAUGUUGAAAAAUUAGCGGAUGACUUGUGGCUGGGGGUGAAAGGCCAAUCAAACCGGGAGAUAGCUGGUUCUCCCCGAAAGCUAUUUAGGUAGCGCCUCGUGAAUUCAUCUUCGGGGGUAGAGCACUGUUUCGGCUAGGGGGUCAUCCCGACUUACCAACCCGAUGCAAACUACGAAUACCGAAGAAUGUUAUCACGGGAGACACACGGCGGGUGCUAACGUCCGUCGUGAAGAGGGAAACAACCCAGACCGCCAGCUAAGGUCCCAAAGUCAUGGUUAAGUGGGAAACGAUGUGGGAAGGCACAGACAGCCAGGAUGUUGGCUUAGAAGCAGCCAUCAUUUAAAGAAAGCGUAAUAGCUCACUGGUCGAGUCGGCCUGCGCGGAAGAUGUAACGGGGCUAAACCAUGCACCGAAGCUGCGGCAGCGACGCUUAUGCGUUGUUGGGUAGGGGAGCGUUCUGUAAGCCUGCGAAGGUGUGCUGUGAGGCAUGCUGGAGGUAUCAGAAGUGCGAAUGCUGACAUAAGUAACGAUAAAGCGGGUGAAAAGCCCGCUCGCCGGAAGACCAAGGGUUCCUGUCCAACGUUAAUCGGGGCAGGGUGAGUCGACCCCUAAGGCGAGGCCGAAAGGCGUAGUCGAUGGGAAACAGGUUAAUAUUCCUGUACUUGGUGUUACUGCGAAGGGGGGACGGAGAAGGCUAUGUUAGCCGGGCGACGGUUGUCCCGGUUUAAGCAUGUAGGCUGGUUGUCCAGGCAAAUCCGGAUAAUCAAGGCUGAGGUGUGAUGACGAGGCACUACGGUGCUGAAGUAACAAAUGCCCUGCUUCCAGGAAAAGCCUCUAAGCAUCAGGUAACAUUAAAUCGUACCCCAAACCGACACAGGUGGUCAGGUAGAGAAUACCAAGGCGCUUGAGAGAACUCGGGUGAAGGAACUAGGCAAAAUGGUGCCGUAACUUCGGGAGAAGGCACGCUGGUGUGUAGGUGAAGUCCCUGCGGAUGGAGCUGAGACCAGUCGAAGAUACCAGCUGGCUGCAACUGUUUAUUAAAAACACAGCACUGUGCAAACACGAAAGUGGACGUAUACGGUGUGACGCCUGCCCGGUGCCGGAAGGUUAAUUGAUGGGGUUAUCCGUAAGGAGAAGCUCUUGAUCGAAGCCCCGGUAAACGGCGGCCGUAACUAUAACGGUCCUAAGGUAGCGAAAUUCCUUGUCGGGUAAGUUCCGACCUGCACGAAUGGCGUAAUGAUGGCCAGGCUGUCUCCACCCGAGACUCAGUGAAAUUGAACUCGCUGUGAAGAUGCAGUGUACCCGCGGCAAGACGGAAAGACCCCGUGAACCUUUACUAUAGCUUGACACUGAACAUUGAGCCUUGAUGUGUAGGAUAGGUGGGAGGCUUUGAAGCGUGGACGCCAGUCUGCGUGGAGCCAACCUUGAAAUACCACCCUUUAAUGUUUGAUGUUCUAACGUUGGCCCCUUACCGGGGUUGCGGACAGUGUCUGGUGGGUAGUUUGACUGGGGCGGUCUCCUCCCAAAGCGUAACGGAGGAGCACGAAGGUUAGCUAAUCCUGGUCGGACAUCAGGAGGUUAGUGCAAUGGCAUAAGCUAGCUUGACUGCGAGCGUGACGGCGCGAGCAGGUGCGAAAGCAGGUCAUAGUGAUCCGGUGGUUCUGAAUGGAAGGGCCAUCGCUCAACGGAUAAAAGGUACUCCGGGGAUAACAGGCUGAUACCGCCCAAGAGUUCAUAUCGACGGCGGUGUUUGGCACCUCGAUGUCGGCUCAUCACAUCCUGGGGCUGAAGUAGGUCCCAAGGGUAUGGCUGUUCGCCAUUUAAAGUGGUACGCGAGCUGGGUUUAGAACGUCGUGAGACAGUUCGGUCCCUAUCUGCCGUGGGCGCUGGAGAAUUGAGGGGGGCUGCUCCUAGUACGAGAGGACCGGAGUGGACGCAUCACUGGUGUUCGGGUUGUCAUGCCAAUGGCACUGCCCGGUAGCUAAAUGCGGAAGAGAUAAGUGCUGAAAGCAUCUAAGCACGAAACUUGCCCCGAGAUGAGUUCUCCCUGAGACUUUAAGUCUCCUGAAGGAACGUUAAAGACGAUGACGUUGAUAGGCCGGGUGUGUAAGCGCAGCGAUGCGUUGAGCUAACCGGUACUAAUGAACCGUGAGGCUUAACCUUACAACGCCGAAG